GGAGGGGAGCCAGCGAGCGAGACGACAGGUACCGCGGUGGGAAGACUGCCAGUACGCCCCGAGGGCCGUUCCCGGGAGCAACUGGAUCCAGCCGGUCCCAAACUCCCGAUCCUCCCCUGGAAGGCGACUCCUCGCCUCACCGUGCGGGUCCUCCGAGCCGCACUCGCGGCUCCAGCGCUCCCAGCGGCUGGGAGUUCGGUUCCAGGUGGGGAGGCACCUGCUCCGGAAUCGCCCUCGGCCGGAGGGAGCUGGUCCUCUCCGCCGACCAGACACCCUCCCGUCGAGCGCACACCCCGCACGCCCAGCCCUGCCCGCGGGCCGCGGGGCAGCUCACCUCCGCCGGGCUCGCAGGCGUCCGCGCCGCGCCCCCGCACCCGCACCCGGCGCCCUCCGCGCGCACCCGCCGCUGACCUUGCGUCGCUCUCGCCCGAGUCCGCGGCGGCCGCCGGGUCUCCGCUCCCCGGCAGCAGGGGUCGGGGUGGGCGGGGCGGCCGGGAGGGGCGCCCGGAGGCUGGCCGCGCACGGCCAGUCCUCGCCUCGCUGCGCCCCGCUCUGCGCUCCGCCGCGCCACCUCCUCCCGCCCGCUCCCGCCCGCUCCUUAGAGGCCAGCGCCGGCUCGGCUCUGCGGGCGGCUCGCGGAGAGGCACAGGAAAUGACCUCAGCGGGCUCGGCCUCCUACCUCUCCGCACCGCGGGCCUCGGCCCUGCGGCGCCGGCCUCCCGGGCUCUGGCCCCCGGCUCUCUGCGGAGGCCGCACAGCUGCCGCGCGGGAUCUGCUCAGCUGCCAGCCAGCGUGGCACCCUCGCGGGAUGGGACGCGACACCAGACCCUUCCCCCCAAAGGGCGUUCCAGCAUUUGUCUAGCGACCUGUAGGAGCUGUAACGCCCACAUAGUUGGAGCAGAAAUCCUUAUUUCAAACAGCCUGUCCCACUGGCAGACCAAUGCUCUGAUUUGUAAUUUGGGGGCGGGGGGGGGGGGAAGGUCGCCACAGCCCUGGGAGAACUUGCUUGCUUGUGUACUUAUGCAUUGUUUUAUUUUAUUUUGUUUCAUUUUAAAGAUUGGCACCUGGGCUAACAACUGUUGCCAAUCUUUUUUUUUUUUCUGCUUUAUCUCCCCAAAACCCCCCCCCCCCACACACACACACACGCACACACAGAGUUGUAUACCUUAG
rnacentral:lncRNA from 1 species